rnacentral:rRNA from 1 species
CCUACGGGUGGCUGCAGUGGGGAAUAUUGGACAAUGGGGGCAACCCUGAUCCAGCCAUGCCGCGUGUGUGAAGAAGGCUCUCGGGUUGUAAAGCACUUUCAGUGAGGAAGAACGCCUGGUGGUUAAUACCCAUCAGGAAAGACAUCACUCACAGAAGAAGCACCGGCUAACUCCGUGCCAGCAGCCGCGGUAAUACGGAGGGUGCGAGCGUUAAUCGGAAUUACUGGGCGUAAAGCGCGCGUAGGUGGCUUGAUAAGCCGGUUGUGAAAGCCCCGGGCUCAACCUGGGAACGGCAUCCGGAACUGUCAAGCUAGAGUGCAGGAGAGGAAGGUAGAAUUCCCGGUGUAGCGGUGAAAUGCGUAGAGAUCGGGAGGAAUACCAGUGGCGAAGGCGGCCUUCUGGACUGACACUGACACUGAGGUGCGAAAGCGUGGGUAGCAAACAGGAUUAGAUACCCCUGUAGUC